CGGAGGAUGCAAGCGUUAUCCGGAUUUAUUGGGUUUAAAGGGUGCGUAGGCGGAUAAAUAAGUCAGUGGUGAAAGCCUGCAGCUCAACUGUAGAAUUGCCAUUGAUACUGUUUAUCUUGAGUACAGCUGAGGUGGGCGGAAUAUGACAUGUAGCGGUGAAAUGCUUAGAUAUGUCAUAGAACACCGAUUGCGAAGGCAGCUCACUAAACUGUUACUGACGCUGAGGCACGAAAGCGUGGGGAGCAAACAGGAUUAGAUACCCUGGUAGUCCACGCCCUAAACUAUGAUCACUCGAUGUUGGCGAUACACUGUCAGCGUCUAAGGGAAACCAUUAAGUGAUCCACCUGGGGAGUACGGUCGCAAGACUG
rnacentral:rRNA from 1 species